rnacentral:lncRNA from 1 species
UCCCAUAUAGAAAGGGGCGCUCCGUGGCCUACUGGCGCGGCCAAGCUGACUAUGGCGAUUGUGUGAUCUCCUGGUUCCCGGGGCCUCGAAAGGCUCCCGGUUAAUUACUCCCACGGGUUGCUGAUUGAGCUGUGUGGUCGUCAUCAUCGUAUUCGCUUCGUGUUCUCCAUGGAUGCAUGAUGAGGUUGAUGGUGUGUGUGGCGGGACAGUGACAGAGCCCGUGUCUCGUCGGUACACGCGCCGCAAGUGGUGUGGCCUUUAUGGUGGCCAUGCCAGCCCUCGCCUUCGUGCCUCGCUGGUCUUGGCGGAAGCGUCGAUCGCGGAGUAGCAUGGAGAGCGCUCGGCUUGGACUGCCUGAUGAUCGGAAGCCUCGUCGGGGCAUGCAAGGAGCUAGGCCUCGCGGGAGUAAUUGUCGAUGGAGAUCGGUGUUGGUGUAAGACCGUCGCGUUGCUCAUAUCAGCAUGGUCGGUGUGGCUGACGCCUUGUCCUGACCGGACGCCGAGUGGACGUCAGCGAAGGAUGU